CCUACGGGUGGCAGCAGUGGGGAAUAUUGGACAAUGGGCGAAAGCCUGAUCCAGCCAUGCCGCGUGUGUGAAGAAGUCCUUCGGGUUGUAAAGCACUUUCAGUGGGGAAGAAAGCCUUGGGGCUAAUACCCUCGAGGAAGGACAUCACCCACAGAAGAAGCACCGGCUAACUCCGUGCCAGCAGCCGCGGUAAUACGGAGGGUGCGAGCGUUAAUCGGAAUUACUGGGCGUAAAGCGCGCGUAGGCGGUCUGAUAAGCCGGUUGUGAAAGCCCCGGGCUCAACCUGGGAACGGCAUCCGGAACUGUCAGGCUAGAGUGCAGGAGAGGAAGGUAGAAUUCCCGGUGUAGCGGUGAAAUGCGUAGAGAUCGGGAGGAAUACCAGUGGCGAAGGCGGCCUUCUGGACUGACACUGACGCUGAGGUGCGAAAGCGUGGGUAGCAAACAGGAUUAGAUACCCGAGUAGUC
rnacentral:rRNA from 1 species